AUGCUCUUUGCGGAUGAUGUGGUGCUAGUCGGAAAUGGUCGAACGGGGGUUAAUGGAAAGUUAGAGAUGUGGAGACAGACUUCAAAAUCGCAAAGUUGUAGGCUUAGUAGACGUAAAAUUGACUACAUGGGGUGCGAUUUCAGUUCUAGUAGGCACGAGCAGGAGGAAGUUAGCCUUGACGAGCAGAUGGUACCUCGAAAGGACACAUUUCGAUAUUUGGGGUCAAUGUUGCAUAAGGAUGGUGAUAUCGAUGAAGAUGUGAGCCAUCAAAUAAAAGUUGGAUGGAUGAAGUGUCGCCAAGCUUCUUGA
rnacentral:rRNA from 1 species